AUGGACAUAGCAGCGAUACUCAAUAUUCCGUUAAGCACCAAACUUCAGGAAGAUUUUUGGUCCUGGCAUUAUGAAAGGAAGGGUGUAUUCACCGUUCGAUCGGCUUACCGUUUACUUGCUGCCACCAAACAGCAAAGGAUGGACUGGUUGGAGCACAACCUGGGACACUCCAAUAUUGAUGCGGACCGACGCUCCUGGACAAAACUAUGGGGAGCAGAUGUGCCGUCUAAAAUCAAGGUUUUUGCAUGGCAACUAGCUAGGACAUCUUUGCCGACAAGGGAUGUGCACAAGCAUCAGAGUAUGGCCGAAACACCUGAAUGCGCGAUAUGCCAGGCAGCCAAUGAUACUUGGCGCCACUCCCUGUUCGAUUGUCAAAUGGCCAGAUGUGUUUGGGCUCUCGCGGACGAGGAGUUGACCGAGGUCGCCAUAUCAAACCGCACGGAGGAUCCUAAGCCGUGGUUGAACUGGCUCGUGGACACUAUACCGUCGGAGGACCUCUCCAAUUUAGUCACUAUUCAGAGCUCCGAGCAAGCCAGCGGCAUGCAUGCAAGGAAAAAGGAUUUGCAUGCAACAAAUGAGCUGCAGCAUGCAUUGCAGGAGGACGGGCGUGUACGCGAUCCCUCGAAGGGCCGGCAGCGUCCAACAGAGCAUAAUGUGAAAAUCAAUGUCGAUGGGGGCAUUUCGCGGGACAGAACGAAAGGAGCGGCAGCUGCCAUCUGCCGGGACAAAAAUGGACUUUAUUUGGACUCCUUGGUCGUCGUGUUUGAAGGCUUGAUUGACCCAGCAUCAUUGGAAGCUCGUGCGUGUAGCGAAGCUCUGGCAUUAGCGAUGGACUUGCAUGUGGAUUCAGUUUGCGUUGCUUCGGACUGCAGUGAAGUGGUGGCCAAUAUUGAAGCAGGCGUUCCGUGUCACUAUGUCACUAUCUUGAGGGAGAUCACAGCCCAGCGGACCUUAUUCCGAGACCUGAAGUUUAUCCAUGAGAAGCGUCAACAUAAUGGCGAGGCACACGCACUUGCCAAAGCUAGUUCUCCACUUUCUCUUGGGCGCCAUGUGUGGCUGUUAUCCUUGCCCGAUCUGGCUGUCACCACGACAUCUUCUAAUGGUCUUUGUACAAGCUGGACUUCUCCAUUUUCAUACCUGAACUUCUUCUUUUCCUUCGUUGGAUCCUGUCGGGGCUGGGGCGGCUCAGGAUCGGGAUCGGGGGAGGAUCAGGUGGAUCCUGUUGGUUUUUUGAUCAUCCACUUAUCUUUGAUUACAUUCCACAUUUGCAAGGUGAAGGCGCAUGAUGUUCCUUUUUAUACUUUUGUCUCUAACCGGCGCACGCCCCCGCUCCUAUUUCUCCCCCACGCCCCGCUCUCCCUCGCCCAACCCGCUCUAUUCUGCUCUGAAGCGAGGGCGGCAACUGCCUGCGCGGUUGCAAGGUGCGUGUGGCGUGGUGGGGAGUGGAAGAACCGCCACGUAUUCGUGUGUGCGGGGGUUGUUUCGAGAGGUUGUUCUAGGGUUUGGAGUUUCAUUCGUCAAGGGGGUUGUGUUGUCAUGGCUUCCAAACCUUCUCCAGGUAUUGUUGAACUUCUUGUUAUUGGACAUUGUUGUCAAAUUGGUGAUGAGUUGAAUAGUUCUGAAAAAAAUGCCUACGAUCAAGAUGGAGCUUCAGAGGUUAAUACUGAUGCUCCAAUAUCUGAUGCGGCUAAAUCACCCAUUAUCCCUUUGACUUUGAUUGCCGAGGUUGCUUCGAGCCUUGAGAAUGUUUCAAGCCUCGAGGAUCUUGCUUCUGCAGCUCUUGCUUCACCUAAUGUGUCCAUAGAGGAGGAAGCUGUGAACACCAUCAACGAUGUUUUAUCUGAGUUGGGUUUAUCAAAAAACCCUGCUGCAGCUGAGGAGGGGGCUCCCUCAGUCAAAGGUUGUGAUUACGUUCCGGAUCCUUUGUGCUCUCUUCAGAUGUCAGAGACGCAGUCGCAGUCUGUUGAUGGCACUGAACCUGUCACGCAACCCGAGGAUGUGCCUUUUCAGCUUCUCCUGGAGGACCAAUGUAAGAGGAAGAAGCGAGAAGAUUUUGACAAGAAGAGGGCGGCCUGCCUUGAGAAAGGUUCUAAUGUUCCUGGAUCUGUUCAUGCGACUGAGCUCAUUGUUGAGGAAGACGUGCCAUGUCGUAGUGAUGGCACGGUUGUCCCUGUUAAGAAGAAAAUUAAGAAGACUGUUGCGAGGAAGCUAGUAGUUGGUGAAGUUACUCCUCGGAGGAGCCCACGUGUUUCAAGGCCUGCAGAAGUUGUUGAAGAUGAAGGGCUAGGCAUUGGUGGUACGCCACGCCGUAGUCCUCGUGUGCUUGCCACUGCCGCGCCUACACCUUCUCCGCUUGGUGCUGGUGCAUCUGGUAAGGGGAAGAAAUGCGGCGUGAAGCGUAAGGUUCCACCUGCAAAGGUCAACAAGGGUGUGAAGAAGCAUUCUCGUGUUAAUCCAGAGGACAAGGAUGAUGUUGAUUUCAAUGCUGAUGAUGAGGACGACGACGAUGAUGAUGCUGCCGCUAAUCAGUAUCAGCUUGUGCAGCGGCCUGAGAGGAGGAAGAGAGGAGGCAAAGCGCCCGAAGAAGGUGGCCAAGGAGGAGGUGAGGCGAAAUGUUUUAACAAGACGAUUCGCUGCUCACUAGGAGAGGUCAAGACGUGUGCGAAAAUGCUACAAGCUAGGCACAAGACGAGGGUUAUCAAGGCUGGUUUUGGUUGUGUGUUUGACUUGAAGGUUGAUUCCAACAUUUUUCUUGUCCUUUGA
rnacentral:rRNA from 1 species